ensembl:lncRNA
CACAGAUUUUCGUAACUUGCCCCAAGCCACCCAACUUGUACUGUCAAGAUUUGACCCAAAGCAUCUGAUGUUAGGACAAAUUUUUAACUACUGCCCACAACUAUUGCCCAUGGAAGAGAGCGAACAAUGUGCCUUCAGGUCAAUAUCCGUCCUAACCACAACAGAAUAUAAGCCUCAUUCUCAGACAGAAAGCAAUGCCAUUUGUUCAAAGCCAAGGAACACAUAAAAGGGGACGAGGCUAAGGAUGGAGACAGUUUCUGGGCGUUCACAGUGAUGACGCAGAGGCUAGUCUCACUUGGCAGCAUAGUAACCCCAAGACCAGCAGUAUCUUCUUAUAACACCCUCCACCCGCUUCCCAGAUGGUUUUCUAAGCAGCGACCUAGGAAGAGAUAGAGAAGGUGGCAGAUGAGAAGGAAAGCUCAUUUUAAAAUAGAAGAAAUUAAAGAUGGAUCGCUAAAAGUCAUCCCACGACUCAUCCUUUGGGUCUGUAUUUAUAUACUCUUGUCUGAGCCUCUGAAGGUAAAGGAGGUAAAGGACUCGAGGUGGAUGCCCUCUACUGUGGCUGUC